rnacentral:lncRNA from 1 species
GGAGGCUCCCGGGCCCGGGCUGCCCCAGGCAGGCUGGCCUUUAAGGGCGGCCCCCUGUCGCCCAAAGGGAGUCGUUCUCCCCUCGCCUCUUUUCUUACCUAAACCCAUCCCUACACACACACACACACACACACACACACACACACACACACGCUCUCACAGCUUGGCGUGUUGUUUAAAACAGGUGGAAGACCUCUGUAAUGAUAUUAUGCCUUUCAAUAAAAAUUUUAUGAGGUGUAUUUGAUUAUAGAUUAAUGUGUCCCUAAUAAAACGGACGGAUGGAGCAGCUCGGAGUGCCCCUCCCUCUACCGCACUCACACUCCCGGGGCAGCCACACGUCCUUGAUCCACCCCCUUUCCAGUUUUCCCCUUGAGAGGUAAGGCCGGGCAGCCUUGAAUCUGAGAGAAAUGC